ensembl:lncRNA
AAAAAAAAAAUCGGAUAAUGUGUUCUCUUCAAUUACACGUGUCAAAUCUCUCUGAAAUCACAAUAUUUACUCUCGUAUAAAUUAAUUAUACGUAUUUCUUCAAUAAAGAGAUCAACGAAGGAAUGCUAGUCAGUCAGUAAAACGAAUGACCGUUAAUUUUUAAAUUAUGCGUGCAGAAGCGCGUGCAGAUCAGAGGCGCGCAGUAAAGAAAGAUACAAAUAAACUCGUAGCGGUUUUUGUCACGGGCGAACCUGGCAGCUGCCCAUGGGUGCGUUUCCCGUACAACGACGUAACUCGCUGAUUAACCACCAUAGUACGAUGCAUCGUUAUGGAAACGAACUAGCUAGUCACGACCAUAGACAUAUAAAUAGCUAGACGCCUCAUUGGCCGCUCGACCGCACGUCAACGUCGCCGCCAUAUUGGAGCGGGCAACUCUCCAUUACUCUCAUAUCGGGACAGAGGAAAUAUGUCUAUGGGAAAACAUACCUGACUCGUUGGCAGCUUGGGCAUCUACAAACCAUCGCACAAUAAUAAAAACAGAUUUCGGGGUAUUAUCUUUCACAGAGGUGGAUGUUGCACACUGGUGGUGGACGACGAUAUUCCCCCUUCUAUGUAAAGCGCUUUGAGUGCCCAGAAAAGCACUAUAUAAAUGUAAGGAAUUAUGAAUUAUUAUUAUUUAAAUAUAACCAGUUUCUUCAGUCAAUCACAAUACUAUAGACUGCAUUUAAAAUUAUUUACACAGGCUGUUUAAUGCUGAUCAUGUACUGUGUGUGUAUUUACACAAAAACUACAUGAUGUAAAUAGCCUAGAAGUGAAAAACACAGGAACUCACGGUAAGUCAAGCUGCAAUAUCAUGACAAAAUCAUUGUUUAUUAUUGCCCUUGAUGUUGUAAUAAUGAUUAUUAAUUUUCUGGUCUGUGUUAAAUAUAACAUGUAUGGAACAUGUAUGGAAAAAUAAACAACUGUUUCAAAAUUUGUGUUUUCUGCAUGGUUGUGUGUAAUUUGCAUUGUAGAACAAAAUGUCAAGCAUCGUCAAGUUGUUUACAUUAUUUUACUCAUUAGUUGAAUAAAAUAUAGGAAAAUCUUGAGGGAAGCAGUGUAGAAUUAGUCUUUAUUAGUCAGGUUUUGUCAUCACAACUAAACCACCAUUUUGUAUUUUAUAUAUAUAUAUAUAUAUAUAUAUGUGUGUGUGUGUGUGUGUACAUGUAUAUAUUAUACUUAAGGAGAUCAUUAAUUAAACACAAUUUGGAAUUC